AUGGUUGUGCUAGGUGCUUGGAUCCUUUGGGCUCACCGCAAUGCAUGUGUGUUUGACGAAGCGACUCCAAGCAUGGUAAGAGCGCUGAACACUGCCGGCAAUGAGCGGCGUCCUUGGGAGAUUGCGGGCGCAUGGGGCCUCUCUUUCUUGACUGCCCCGGCCCUUGGAGCUUAG
rnacentral:rRNA from 1 species